rnacentral:rRNA from 1 species
ACGCUCGACACCUACGGGAGGCAGCAGUGGGGAAUAUUGCACAAUGGGGGAAACCCUGAUGCAGCAACGCCGCGUGAAGGAAGACGGUUUUCGGAUUGUAAACUUUCUGUUCUUAGUGAAGAUAGUGACGGUAGCUAAGGAGCAAGCCACGGCUAACUACGUGCCCGCAGCCGCGGUAAUCUGAGCGGGCUGGCAAGGC